rnacentral:rRNA from 1 species
UACGGGGGGGGCAAGCGUUGUUCGGAAUUACUGGGCGUAAAGGGCUCGUAGGCGGCCAACUAAGUCAGACGUGAAAUCCCUCGGCUUAACCGGGGAACUGCGUCUGAUACUGGAUGGCUCGAGUUUGGGAGAGGGAUGCGGAAUUCCAGGUGUAGCGGUGAAAUGCGUAGAUAUCUGGAGGAACACCGGUGGCGAAGGCGGCAUCCUGGACCAACACUGACGCUGAGGAGCGAAGGCCAGGGGAGCAAACGGG